GCACCCUUUGACCCGGAUAGAAAGGAAAUUGGGGGUCUUCGACUAAAUCAGGGGAAAUGGGUGUGAGUAUUUCUGAAGCUUCUGCUGAAAAUUCAGACUUUGCACCAUCAUCAAAGAGAACUUUAAUUUUAUCGACAAUCUUUUCAACUUUCCCUAGCCAUGGGCCCAUCACUACAUAAUCCCCAACAGAAAUUGGACGUAUUUUUACAAGAUCUUUU
rnacentral:misc_RNA from 1 species